UUAUAUAGCCCAUUUUGUUAGAGUAACUCAAUGUGCUCAAAACGCGUCGUUUUUCAUUUUAUGGAUUGCACCCGUUUUUCCAUCUCCUUCCAAAACCGCCGUCUCCUCCAACCCCUAAUUUUGCAGCGCCGUUCCAAGAAUGUAUGUGUAACGUUUGUAAUCGUCAUUCAAACAUGUCAUAAAGACACCAUUAAUUCUCUGCGACCGUCUCUCCCACUACUUUGAUUUUAAUUACUCUUUCCCACCACUACUUUGCAAAUACCUUAAUUCUCACAUCUAUAAAUAAGCGAUGAAGAACUCUCCAAAUCUCAUACCUUCAUCGUAUUAUUUAUGCCACUUCUUUACCAAAGGAGCUUCCAAAGUUGUUAACCGCUCCAAUUCUGCUUUCCAUCUAAAGACUGGCCGUGCUUCUAAAACGGUUUUGACACGGUUUAUGCGUUUUUUGGGAGGCAAAACGUCAAGAAAUAUGCAGAAUUCAUGGGGUCUGACUUGCUCUUGAUUAAUGAAAAGGUACACAUAUAUCUCUUCUUCUUUACUGCUCCCAGAAAUAAUCUUCACCAACUUCUUCAAGCUUCCUACUGACAGUCUGCUACAAGGUUCCAUCUCUGUUGACUGUAAUAAUCUAUUUGUGAGGAUGCUGAUUCCACCCGUGACGAGGAAGAAAUAAAGAGAGAGCCUCUAUGGUGGCUCUGUUCUUUAGCAGAUCAUGACGUCGUUCCCGGCUUCGAUCUUGGUUCUGCUAGCUUAAGGAAGAUCAUCGAUCUGGGGAGCUCUGAUUAGUGUUCAAUCCUUAAGGCGGGAAUAAUACGAAGGGGUUAACAUCUUUGGAAGCCUACAAAUACAUACUUGAUCACGAGAAGGAGAAGUGUAUUGGAGAAAGUAUUUUAGAAAGAGUAUUCUACCUGCCAAGUACAAAACUUUUAUUGAUCUUAGAAACUUAUUCACAAAUGAACAGAAUGCUUUAUCAUUUGAUAUAAAUAUUUGUUUUACUUAAUGCUUUGCAGCUUUGGUGAAGCAACAUAUCAUCGAUUAGUUUUGGAUA